rnacentral:tRNA from 1 species
UUAAGGAGGUGGGAAUUGAACCCACGACAAAGAAGUCAAAGUUCUUCGUUUUUCCAGUUAAACUACUCCUUA